GGAGUUAAAAAAAUUUAGUUUGCUUUCCUAGAUUAAGUCGUAUUUCUUUAUAAGAAUUCGGGUUUAUCUUUCAUUUUCAUCUACCUUAGUUGAGUUUCAUUCGGAUUAUCUUUUAUUUCCUUCCCAUACUUAAAACCAAAAUACUUAAAACAACUCAACUAAUCCAGCCCAUACACAAGGCUUAUUCAUCCAUUAUCAAUAAGACUCAAACAAGCCCAAAUUAUCCUAAAUCACUUAAAUCCAAUUAAAGUUACGAAUUUGGCCUGUUCAAAAAGCUCAUAUUUG
rnacentral:lncRNA from 1 species